rfam:Camelus ferus unplaced genomic scaffold scaffold1619, whole genome shotgun sequence.
UGGGGUUUAGCUCAGUGGUACAGCACAUGCUUACUUAGCAUGCAUGAGGUCCUGGGUUCAAUCCUCAGUACCUCUA